rnacentral:rRNA from 1 species
AGAGUUUGAUCAUGGCUCAGAACGAACGCUGGCGGCGUGGAUAAGACAUGCAAGUCGAGCGCUGAUUGCAGGGUAGCAAUAUUCUGCAGUUGGAGCGGCGCAAGGGUGCGUAACACGUGGGUAAUCUGCCAUGAAGUUUGGGAUAACUCGCUGAAAGGCGAGCUAAUACCGGAUGUGAUAGUUGAGAGGCCUCUCUCGACUCUCAAAGCUGGGGACCGUAAGGCCUGGCGCUUCAUGAUGAGCCCGCGGCCUAUCAGCUAGUUGGUAAGGUAACGGCUUACCAAGGCUAAGACGGGUAGCUGGUCUGAGAGGACGACCAGCCACACUGGAACUGAGACACGGUCCAGACACCUACGGGUGGCAGCAGUCGAGAAUUUUUCACAAUGGGCGAAAGCCUGAUGGAGCGACGCCGCGUGGAGGAUGAAUGGCUUCGGCCCGUAAACCCCUGUCAUUUGCGAUCAACCCUUAUUAUUUAAAAGAUGAUAAGCUGAUAGUAGCGAAAGAGGAAGGGACGGCUAACUCUGUGCCAGCAGCCGCGGUAAUACAGAGGUCCCAAGCGUUGUUCGGAUUCACUGGGCGUAAAGGGUGCGUAGGUGGCGAGGUAAGUCGGAUGUGAAAGCUCGGAGCUCAACUCCGAAAUGGCAUUGGAAACUACCUGGCUCGAGGGUUGGAGGGGGGACUGGAAUACUUGGUGUAGCAGUGAAAUGCGUAGAUAUCAAGUAGAACACCAGUGGCGAAGGCGAGUCCCUGGACAACUCCUGACACUGAGGCACGAAAGCUAGGGGAGCAAACAGGAUUAGAUACCCUAGUAGUCC